rnacentral:rRNA from 1 species
UCGAGAAUUUUUCACAAUGGGCGCAAGCCUGAUGGAGCGACGCCGCGUGGGGGAUGAAUGGCUUCGGCCCGUAAACCCCUGUCAUUUGCGAUCAACCGUUAUUAUUUAAAAGAUGAUGACCUGAUAGUAGCGAAAGAGGAAGGGACGGCUAACUCUGUGCCAGCAGCCGCGGUAAUACAGAGGUCCCAAGCGUUGUUCGGAUUCACUGGGCGUAAAGGGUGCGUAGGUGGCGAGGUAAGUCGGAUGUGAAAUCUCCAAGCUCAACUUGGAAAAUGCAUUGGAAACUACCUUGCUCGAGGUUUGGAGGGGGGACUGGAAUACUUGGUGUAGCAGUGAAAUGCGUAGAUAUCAAGUGGAACACCAGUGGCGAAAGCGAGUCCCUGGACAAAUCCUGACACUGAGGCACGAAAGCUAGGGGAGCAAACA